AGUCGAACGAGAACCGCUCGUCUCGUAAGAGACGGACGGGGACAGUGGCGAACGGGUGCGUAACACGUGAGAAACCUGCCCCGAAGAUCGGGAUAGCCCGGGGAAACCCGGAUUAAUACCGGAUACCCUCGUGGGGUCGCAUGACCUCGCAAGGAAAUGGUCCGCCGCUUCGGGAUGGUCUCGCGGCCUAUCAGCUUGUUGGUGAGGUAACGGCUCACCAAGGCAGCGACGGGUAGCUGGUCUGAGAGGACGAUCAGCCACACUGGGACUGAGACACGGCCCAGACUCCUACGGGAGGCAGCAGCAGGGAAUAUUGCACAAUGGGCGAAAGCCUGAUGCAGCGACGCCGCGUGCGGGAUGAAUGCCUUCGGGUUGUAAACCGCUUUCAGGAGGGACGAAAAUGACGGUACCUCCAGAAGAAGGCCCGGCCAACUACGUGCCAGCAGCCGCGGUAACACGUAGGGGCCGAACGUUGUCCGGAUUUAUUGGGCGUAAAGGGCUCGUAGGCGGUUUGACAAGUCGGUCGUGAAAACCCGGGGCUCAACCCCGGGACGCCGAUCGAAACUGUCAUGACUAGGGUCCGGUAGAGGUGAGUGGAAUUCUCG
rnacentral:rRNA from 1 species